AGUGGGGAAUAUUGCGCAAUGGGCGGAAGCCUGACGCAGCGACGCCGCGUGAGGGAUGACGGCCUUCGGGUUGUAAACCUCUUUCAGCAGGGACGAAGCGUAAGUGACGGUACCUGCAGAAGAAGCACCGGCCAACUACGUGCCAGCAGCCGCGGUAAUACGUAGGGUGCAAGCGUUGUCCGGAAUUAUUGGGCGUAAAGAGCUCGUAGGCGGUUUGUCGCGUCGGCUGUGAAAGCCCGGAGCUCAACUCCGGGUCUGCAGUCGAUACGGGCAGACUUGAGUGUUGCAGGGGAGACUGGAAUUCCUGGUGUAGCGGUGAAAUGCGCAGAUAUCAGGAGGAACACCGGUGGCGAAGGCGGGUCUCUGGGCAACAACUGACGCUGAGGAGCGAAAGCGUGGGGAGCGAA
rnacentral:rRNA from 1 species